rnacentral:rRNA from 1 species
UACGUAGGGUGCGAGCGUUGUCCGGAAUCACUGGGCGUAAAGGGCGCGUAGGCGGCCUGAUAAGUCGGGGGUGAAAUCCUGCGGCUUAACCGCAGGGCUGCCUUCUAAACUGUCAGGCUAGAGCACGGUAGAGGCAGAUGGAAUUCCCGGUGUAGCGGUGGAAUGCGUAGAGAUCGGGAAGAACAUCAGUGGCGAAGGCGGUCUGCUGGGCCGUUGCUGACGCUGAGGCGCGACAGCGUGGGGAGCAAACAGG